UACCAGCACCCCGAGUGGUCGGGACGUUUAUUGGGCCUAAAGCAUCCGGUAGCCGGUUCUACAAGUCUUCCGUUAAAUCCACCUGCUCAACAGAUGGGCUGCGGAAGAUACUAUGGAGCUAGGAGGCGGAGAGGCAAGCGGUACUCGAUGGGUAGGGGUAAAAUCCGUUGAUCCAUUGAAGACCACCAGUGGCGAAGGCGGCUGCCAGACGCGCUCGACGGUGAGGGAGUGAAAGCUGGGGGAGCAAACCGG
rnacentral:rRNA from 1 species